rnacentral:rRNA from 1 species
AUUGAACGCUGGCGGCAGGCCUAACACAUGCAAGUCGAACGGUAACAGGAAGCAGCUUGCUGCUUCGCUGACGAGUGGCGGACGGGUGAGUAAUGUCUGGGAAGCUGCCUGAUGGAGGGGGAUAACUACUGGAAACGGUAGCUAAUACCGCAUAAUGUCGCAAGACCAAAGAGGGGGACCUUCUGGCCUCUUGCCAUCUGAUGUGCCCAGAUGGGAUUAGCUUGUUGGUGGGGUAACGGCUCACCAAGGCGACGAUCCCUAGCUGGUCUGAGAGGAUGACCAGCCACACUGGAACUGAGACACGGUCCAGACUCCUACGGGAGGCAGCAGUGGGGAAUAUUGCACAAUGGGCGCAAGCCUGAUGCAGCCAUGCCGCGUGUAUGAAGAAGGCCUUCGGGUUGUAAAGUACUUUCAGCGGGGAGGAAGGGAGGAAAGUUAAUACCUUUGCUCAUUGACGUUACCCGCAGAAGAAGCACCGGCUAACUCCGUG